UACGUAGGUCCCGAGCGUUGUCCGGAUUUAUUGGGCGUAAAGCGAGCGCAGGUGGUUUAUUGAGUCUGGUGUAAAAGGCAGUGGCUCAACCCCGUCCGGCCGUUGAAACUGGGGGCCUUGAGUGGGCGAGAAGAAGGCGGAAUGCGUGGUGUAGCGGUGAAAUGCAUAGAUAUCACGCAGAACCCCGAUUGCGAAGGCAGCCUUCCGGCGCCCUACUGACGCUGAGGCACGAAAGUGCGGGGAUCGAACAGG
rnacentral:rRNA from 1 species